GGAUGAGCCCGCGGCCUAUCAGCUUGUUGGUGGGGUAAUGGCCUACCAAGGCUUUGACGGGUAGCCGGCCUGAGAGGGUGACCGGCCACACUGGGACUGAGACACGGCCCAGACUCCUACGGGAGGCAGCAGUGGGGAAUAUUGGACAAUGGGCGGAAGCCUGAUCCAGCAACGCCGCGUGAGGGAUGACGGCCUUCGGGUUGUAAACCUCUUUCAGUGCAGACGAAGCGAAAGUGACGGUAUGCACAGAAGAAGGACCGGCCAACUACGUGCCAGCAGCCGCGGUAAUACGUAGGGUCCGAGCGUUGUCCGGAAUUAUUGGGCGUAAAGGGCUCGUAAGCGGUUUGUUGCGUCGGGAGUGAAAUCCUCCAGCUUAACUGGGGGCUUGCUUUCGAUACGGGCAGACUUGAGGCAUGCAGGGGAGAAUGGAAUUCCUGGUGUAGCGGUGAAAUGCGCAGAUAUCAGGAGGAACACCGGUGGCGAAGGCGGUUCUCUGGGCAUGUUCUGACGCUGAGA
rnacentral:rRNA from 1 species